rnacentral:rRNA from 1 species
UGGGGAUUAUUGGACAAUGGGCGAAAGCCUGAUCCAGCCAUGCCGCGUGUGUGAAGAAGGUCUUCGGAUUGUAAAGCACUUUAAGUUGGGAGGAAGGGCAGUAAGCGAAUACCUUGCUGUUUUGACGUUACCGACAGAAUAAGCACCGGCUAACUCUGUGCCAGCAGCCGCGGUAAUACAGAGGGUGCAAGCGUUAAUCGGAAUUACUGGGCGUAAAGCGCGCGUAGGUGGUUCGUUAAGUUGAAUGUGAAAGCCCCGGGCUCAACCUGGGAACUGCAUCCAAAACUGGCGAGCUGGAGUAGGGCAGAGGGUGGUGGAAUUUCCUGUGUAGCGGUGAAAUGCAUAGAGAUCUGGAGGGAUACCGAUGGCGAAGGCAGCCAUCUAGCCUAACACUGACGCUGAGGUACGAAAGCAUGGGGAGCAAACAGG